CGAGCACGCGCGUGUGGCAUAUCAAUAAGCGGAGGAAAAGAAACUAACAAGGAUUCCCUUAGUAACGGCGAGUGAAGCGGGAAGAGCUCAAAUUUGAAAUCUUCAAGGUUCUACCUUGACGAAUUGUAGUUUAUAAGAAGUGUUUUCUGUUAUGGAGUUGGCUAAAAGUUCUUUGGAAUAGGACAUCAUAGAGGGUGAGAAUCCCGUAUUUGGUACAUUAUCCUCCUAGCUGUUGUGAUACACUUUCAACGAGUCGGAUUGUUUGGGAAUGCAGUCCAAAAUGGGUGGUAAAUUUCAUCUAAAGCUAAAUAUUGGCGAGAGACCGAUAGCGAACAAGUACCGUGAGGGAAAGAUGAAAAGAACUUUGAAAAGAGAGUUAAACAGUACGUGAAAUUGUCAAAAGGGAAGCGUUUGACACCAGUGUUGUUUUCUCGAAAAUCAAUUAAAAGGCGGAUGUUUGUGUUGUAUUGAGGAUUAAUGACUUCAUCGCUUGCUCCUUUCUUGUACUACUUUCUUAAUGCACUUUUCGGUUAACAAGUCAACAUCAAGUUUCUUUUGUUGUAAAAGGGUCAUUAGGAAGGUGGCUUUCUUUUCGGAGAAAGUGUUUAUAGCCUUUGAUCUCUGCAACCGGAGAGACUGAGGUCUGCAGCGUAGACUCUUCGGGGUUAAAUACAUUUGUGCUAAGCUAUAGCUUUUUAUAGACAACUUGUUGACUAUAUUUAGUCUUGUAGGCUUACUCGCUUACUGCUAUUUUACCUACGCUUAGGAUGUUGAACUCUAUCACACACA
rnacentral:rRNA from 1 species